rnacentral:tRNA from 1 species
GAGGGUCUAGUUCUAUGGUACAGUGUGUGCUUAGCAUGCAUGAGGUCCUGGGUUCAAUCCCCAGUACCCCCA